CUUUGAGGUUGCCUAAUUCACCCUCAUCAGUUUACAGAUAAGCACCGCGGUCUAUAAUGCCUUUACCGGGUCAGUAUUUGAGCUGGAGGAACCAGAGGUGGGUUCUGAACGCAAAAACUCUUAUGUAUUCUGGCUUCUCCCUAACCUCUUUGGAGCUAUCUGAGAGGCUGUAUCCCGGGCUAUAGUUCUCAUUGAUGCAGAAGAUGAAAAAGUUCUAGAGAUGGAUGGUGAUGAUGGCUGCAUGACAGUGUGAUUCAACAAACUAAAUGGAGCCAGCUAAGUGAACAAAUCUGGACGGCUAUCAGCAAAGGAAGACGUCGUGUGAUUUCUCCAUAUACCUAACCUACAGAGCACCGGGUUGUUAUUUUAUUUAAAAGGCCUAUUGAGGCCACUCUCCCUUCUGAGUAAGACAGCCUGCACUCUGUCUUUGGAGUGUGAAUCUACUGAGUCCCCACACCUCACUGCCUUUCUCUUGCCUUCUGACACAGGCUGCACUCUGUCUAUGGAGUAUGUAUCUCCCUGACUAAAUCUACCUUUACUCAAAAAAAAAAAAAAAGGACUAUUGAGAUGAGAGGCAUGAACCUCACUGAAAAUUUGUAACUACAAGCCCUUCCUUAUGCCAGUUUCUGAGCCAAAUUUGCAUCAACUGUGUCAUCUGAUAAACUUACUGCCAAAAUCUGUUUUUAAUUUUUCCUGGAUUGGUGGUGCCCCUCAUAUCCUGGCAGAAGCUAACACAAAUUCUGUCUCAAGGAAAGCACUUAAAACUCUCAAACAAUUCACACAGAUACAUUCCACAAACAUGAGCCUACAGUAAAAAAAAAAAAAUCAUAAAACAUGAAAAAAGAAGCCUAACAUAAGCAAGAAUCUGUAUGAACAAAAAAUAAAAUGAGACAGAGAUUUCAAAGAAUGUCAUUAUUGCACACCUAAUGUAUAUUGUGUGUCUAAUAUGCUUAGAGAGAUAUGAGACAUUUGGAAGUAUGAGUAGGAAAUAGUAUUUUGAAAGCAUUGACAGAAUGCACCAAUAAGUCCCAAAUUCUAUACCAAGAACUCUUUUAAGAAUGAGGGCGAAAUAGAUACUUUUGGACAAACAGAAACAAAGUUUACCUUAAAGAGAUCCUCACUAAAGGAUAUACUUCCAGAAGAAGGAAAAUUAUUCCAGAGGUGGUUUGAGAUGCAAGAAGAAAUGGUGAAGAAUGUGUAGACUAGUGACUAAAGAAGAACGUACAACCUUAGAGUCUGUGGACCUUACUGAGACCUAUAGCCCAGGUAGCUCUGAGGAACAGCUCCAAAGCAGUAAGGGAGGAGCCAGGAUAUAUAGAUGUUUUUAAGCAAAAGCUUAAAAAAAAAAAAAAAGCCACGCAGUCAAACAUCAAAAGAUUACUGCCAGUCAUAAAAAACUGAUGUCUCAAGUUAAUGAUUUUAGAGCUUUUCUGUAUAUGGGAAGAUGCAAGAGUCUGGGCUCACUGAAAUUAUUCCUUAGAGACCUAUCUUAACCAGAUAGGGCUAGUAUCCGAAGGGCAGAGUGCUUUCUGUUUUUCUCCAUCCUGAAUUCCCCUAAGGGCGCACCUUAGGGGGAGGGGCACUUGCUGUGGCUGGUGGCUCGGUUCUUGUAGAACUGGAAUGACAGGCAGCAUUGCCUUUCCACAGGACAAGUCUAAUUAAACCUCGGCUAUACAGAAAAAAAAAAAAAGACAA